UCCUCUGUAGUUCAGAUAGAGGAUAAAAACAGAAACUGAAGUGUGUUCGAACCUCCAGCCUCCCUGCAGACUCGGGGAAGUGUGGGUCAGCGGUUAUUCCUUCAUCUGUCUCAGUUCAGCAGUGAAACUCCCACCAGCUCUGAGUGUGUUCUCCUUCAUUUCCUCUUCGGAGUCUUCAUCUGUGGUUCAGGUUUCAUGAAAAGGCCAAUCAGCCUCUUCGAGUCGCCGCUUUAUGAUGCUAAGCAGAGCAAAUGUGGUUACAGAGAUCUGGUUAGGGAGAAAUGAUUGCUUUUCAGGAAGAAGUCAAACCAAACGGAGGUGCUAAUGCCGAGCAAUCUGAAGAACAACAGAGGAAUAAGCACAUUUAAUUUACAGCAGAAUCAAAUCGAGCUUCAAUUAGAGAGCCGCGGUCUUCUUCAGUGGGUGAAACCUCCUCUGAGGACGGACGGGAGAGGAAAACAACAAGCUGUCUGACGGCGACGCCAUCACAGCUGCUCUGUUACAGACAAACCCUCACUCCUCCUAAAAUCCCCGCCCACCUUUACAGGUGAAAGCUGAGGGCCCAAUCAGGAGGUCCCUGCUCUGAGCCGCAGGAAACACUCCACCCACCAAACUGUCCUCUGCUUCAGAGGAGGGAGAGGAGGUGGCGAGGAGGCAGCCGGCUAAUUAAAAGAGUCUAAUUAGAGUGGCGUCAGGCAGGUCAGCAGGCCACCGAGGACGCCGCUCUGCCUCUGACAUCAAAACAGAAUCGGACGGCGCAGGGAGAGAAUUCACACACUAAUGUUGAAUCACAACAGAAACCUGGAUCCUCCGUCUCCUCCUCAGAUGUCCACCCUUUAACUCUCUGAGCACAAAAACACAAAAACUGACGAGAAACAACAAGAAGUCAGGAACCUGAUCGGCUUCACUUUACUAUGAUCCAGAUCAGCUUAGAUGACCCCCUCACUCCCAUUUUUCAGCGCUCCAAUCCGCAACGGCAGCGAUUUUCACCGUCUGCCAAUUCCUUACACAGAUUCGUGUACAAUCGCGCCAUAACAAGUUGUCUCUCUAAAGACAGACACAUAGACAUAUAAGCAGUAGAUUGUGUCCUUCCAGAGGAGGAAAUCUACUUCUAGACUUCUAGAAUCAGCAUCUCCUCAUCCAUGGUGUCAUCGGGGUGAAAUGACGUCUAAAAACCUUUCACUUGUUCGUCUCCGCCCGUUUGCAUGGUGUGAAAUACGAUCCUCCUGAAACACGGAGUGUUUUAUUUUGAAAAGAAGCCGGAUGUUUUAUUUUGAAAAGAAGCCGGAUGUUUUAUUUUGUGUCUGUGCCCGACUUCCUUUCCAGCACGGGUUAAUCUGUGCUGAAUUUAUCCGCCAUGCCCCGGCGUCCAGAAAGCCAAUGGAAAUUGACACGUCAGCUUGAAUGGUUAUGAUCAGCGGAUACAACCUUUUAGGAGACGUUCUGGAUAUGGUCCAUGCUGUGAUUUCCGCUCCUGAGUUCUGGAGUGGAAAUGAAGGUCUGAGGUGGAAUUUGGGAAAAGCAGUCACACCUGUUUCACCUGCAGCCGCCGACUCUCGCUUCCUCCUCAAACACAGAGCAGAUAGCCGAGCUCCACCCUGUGAUCCCUGAUCCUACGCCCUCCAUUAAUCCACCAUAAUGAGGAAGUUCUCCACCUGACACAGGGAUACCUCAGGUAACUCCAGAAACCUGUCAGAGGGACCAAAGUCUCCGAGUGGUGGAGUCCAGUUCUGGGAGUGUGAGAAGGUUCUUGAGCAGGACAUCCAUGGUGAGGCGCUCCACCCUCAUCCAGAGUUCUGCACUGGUCUCACACUCACAGCCGAGCAAACACGGGUCCAUCGUACCGCCAUUGACUGUCCAAUCAACACCCAGAUAAGAACUGAGGUCAGCAGCAGCAGAAGAAAACGAGCCAAGAUGUCAGCACCUGUUAAUGAGGCUGUUUGAUCAAACAUGUGAUCUACAUGUGGAGUUUUUUUGUCACCCGCCACCAUCAGAGCGCCGUUUCUGUACGGCGGCGACAGAUUUUUGAUUAAACGACCACUUUGUCAUGCGAGCGGGACGUAAUGCAUCAACACAGGUGAGCGUGGAGCCUGUUGUGAGUUUAUCAUCCUGACUGCUUCAAAAAUUGAAAUGGGUUAUUUAUCGGGUGUUGUGUCACACACACACACACACACACAGAUCCCAUUCCCCAUCUGACUGUGCCGCUCUUAUUAUUAUUUUUAUUAUUAUUAUUAUUUCCCUCUCUUCUUUUUUUGACAGAUUGCCCGAGCCGCAAAUCGUCAGCUGCAGCCCAUUAGUAAUCCUCGCCGCCGCCACGGCCGCCAUGGCCGCCAUGGCUGUGAUGUUUAUUAUUUCCCAGCAGCAGGACGGAUAAUUUAUGAGGGGAAACCUGCGGGUCUCACACAGGAAGCAGGUCACAGCAGAUAUUAAAGUCAUCAAAAGCAAAUCCAGCAAAGUGACUCCGACAGCGGCGACUAAAAAAGGUACUGUGUCAUAUCACAGAGGCAUGAUGGGAAUACAGAUCCAUGAGGGCUGGGUGAGAAAAACUAUGAAAAAAGAGAAGAAGAAAUAAAAUAAAAAAUAAAAAAAACAAAAGAGGUCUGUAAAAGAAAGAAAUUAUCAGUGAGAGGAGAGAUAAAUAUCUGCGUCUGUCUGAGCAGCAGAGGGCGCUGUCUGACAUUGGACCGGUUCAGUCCAGUUUCACGGAAAACAAGCCGAUAAAAGUUCAACCUGGAAAUCCAACAAAGUCCCUCCUUACAUAAACAUGAUCAGCCAAUCAGAGACACAGCUGACCUGACUGACAGACGGGCACACUGUCGCUUAUAUAAGAGGAGACUCAUGCCGCGUUUGAGUUACCUCUGAAGUCAGACGUAAGAGCUGAAAAUGACGUCACACCGGAGUUACAAGCGUUUCAGUUACCAAGUUGGAAAAAGGUAAAAUCGGAGCCGAAAACAAGAUGGCUACAUCUACGAAAGUUAUUUGAGCGCUUGCCUUAUAUUCGGACAAGGGAAGAGCUGAAAUAAUUUCGUAGACGUAGCCAUCUCGUUACAGGCCUCUGAUUUUGCUUUUUUCCGACUUGGUAACUGAAACGCUCGUAACUCGGGUGUAACGUCAUUUUCAGCUCCAACAUCUGACUCUCUAGGUUAACUCAAACGCAGCAUUAAGGCCCGCCUCUGGUAUGGAGUCAGCUGCUUAUUGGCUAAAAACCUCUGCCACAGAAAGAAACAGGUGACAACACCGCCACCAUGACCUCCACUGAUUUUACAGUUAAUGUGUUUUUCGGCGAUUUGAUGAGUUAAAUUCACUAUUAUUUCUGCUUACUUUAAAAAGGUUUGUAGCAGGAUUUAAAGAUGGCGGUUGGUGGUUCUGAUUUUACUCUGCAUCCUGAACCUCUGAAA